AGACGCUUCCUACAUCGACUUAUUCAAGAGUCAGUAUCAGAGUCAGUGCAUCGAAAGAGUGCGCCGCUGGUCCGUCCUUCAACAGUCGUCACUCUGUAACUGUUACAGCCACAAUUUUGUUUACCUUUUAUUGACACCCAUAAAUAACAGCACUAUGAAGGACUCCGUAGUGAUACUGCUUUGCUUUCUUUUGUUGAUUUCAAACGGAAAUGCCGGUCGUCUACAGUACGUUCUAGACGCAGACGAGGAAAUGUCGUUUUGAACUUGAAUUCACAACAGAUUCGUGUUGUGAAAAGAGCUGCUUUUAAUUUUGAUGAUGAACAUCCUUGUCCUUCUUUCUCUGCAGCCAGGUGUCCUACUCCUGAUGUGCAGGCGUUGUGCCGCGAACACAAACUCACCAAGUGCGAGACAGACUUUCCAAUCGUCGAUAUCUGAGGGGCCCACUAACUGUGAUAGAUAUAUAGCUAAAAUCUUAUAUGGGUAACUACAGAAAGAUAUUUGCAUGAAAAUGCAUAGAUUAUUUAUUAAAAGUACAAGAUAAGAUGUUUGUUAAAUUCUAGUAAAUUUAAGUAAACUUGGAUAAAAUUCUGAAUGUAAUUCUGUUAAAAUGUUAAAAUAUUGUAAAAUAUUGUAUAUUUUCUCUAAUAAAAGAUGAAAAAUACUAACUGUGAGAACGGAGGAUCUGUUGGCUACCGAAAAUUACGAUAAGUUUCAGUAUUUUCUAUAACAAAAUCAAUUUGUUUACAGUGAAAUUCAUUUUUCAUCUUAACAUUUUACAUGCUUAUUAUAAAUAC